rnacentral:rRNA from 1 species
UACGUAGGGGGCAAGCGUUGUCCGGAUUUAUUGGGCGUAAAGAGCGUGUAGGCGGCCAUACAGGUCCGUUGUGAAAACUCGAGGCUCAACCUCGAGACGUCGAUGGAAACCGUAUGGCUAGAGUCCGGAAGGGGCAACUGGAAUUCUCGGUGUAGCGGUGAAAUGCGUAGAUAUCGAGAGGAACACCUGCGGCGAAGGCGGGUUGCUGGGCCGACACUGACGCUGAUGCGCGAAAGCUAGGGGAGCGAACGGG